UUUACAGUAAUAUCUCUAUAUACACAGUGGAGAGGUCGAUUAUCCUGUCAAAUGAAGCUUUCAAUUUAUUUUCUUACAUCAUCUUUCUCAUCUCCCUCAUUCUCUUCUAUAAUUUUCUUUAAAUCUGAAACCUCCACAUUUUUGCACAUACAAAACCAAAAUCAUUUUCUUCUCAAUUUGUCAGAAAAAUCAAUCACCCAUAUUGCAUGUUAGAUAUUUGGAAUUAAGCUUUACCCUAUUGAAUAUAGGAAUUCUAUCAACUAUUUGUUUGUCAGUGGAGGAGGUUCAAGGAGCGGUGGUAGAUUAACUUUUUCCUUGUGGCAGCGUUUAUUGAAUUCAGGAUUCCUGAACGAUAGAGCGGAUGUUUUACCAUAAUAAGGGGAUUGAAGAAAUGUUCAACUUUAUGCUUGUGACAGAUAAUAGUUUAGCACGUUUGCACCAGCUGGGAAUAAUCCACUAUAAUGAAAACUUAGAAAUGUUAUAACAGGCAGCAACGGUGAGUAUGCAUGGCGUAAAUAAUAUCCUACCUGAUUGUCGCCUGUUAGAGCAUUGCUCGGUCAAACUCGCAUGCGUUGCUAUCUCAAGCAUGUUUGUCAAUGUUAGUGAUCAAAACUAUAAGUCUUGAUUUCUUGCCUAUUUGUAGAUGUCUCGGACUAGG